rnacentral:rRNA from 1 species
AAUUUAUUUAUUUAUUUUAUUUGUAUAUUAAUAUAAGUAUAUUAAAGUUGAAUUAUUUAAUGAAUUAAUUAUAAUAAUGAUAGAUUAUAGUAUUGUGAGAGAAAAUAUAAAAAUUAUUUAAAGAAAUUUUUAAUUAUUGUACCUUUUGUAUCAGGGUAGAUUAAAUUAGGGUAAAGAAUUUUAUUUUCUCGAAUUAAUAAGAGUUAUUAUAUUAUAUUAUUUAUUGUGGAAUAAUUAUAAUUAAUUAUAUAAUUGAAAUGAAAUGUUAUUCGAUUUUUAAUAUAUCUAGUUUUUUAAGAAUUAAUUUAAUUAUUUUAUUAAAAAUUAAGUUUAUAGUAAUAUAUUAUUUAAUUUUAAUAGAAAUUAUAUUUAGGGAUAAGCUAAAAAAUAAAAUUAAAAAUUUAUAUAUUUUGUAAAUUUAUAGGAUUAGAAUUUUUUAUUUAUAUAAUUAUGUUAUAAUUUAUUUACUUUAGUAUUAAAUUUAUAUAUGUAUUUUAAUUAUUUAUUAAAAUAUUAAUUUUUAUUUAUAAAAUUAAGAAAUAAUGAUUUAAUUAGUAUAAAAUUUAGUAUAUUUUAAAAUAGUUAUAAAAUUUAAGUUAGGAAUUAGGCAAAAAUAUUUUUCACCUGUUUAUUAAAAACAUGUCUUAUUGAAUAUAAUUAUAGGUUUAAUCUGCUCAAUGAAAAAUUUAAAUAGCCGCAGUAAUUUGACUGUGCUAAGGUAGCAUAAUAAUUAGUUUUUUAAUUGAAAGCUGGAAUGAAGGAUUGAAUGAAAAAAUAGCUGUCUUAUUUAAAAAAUUAAAAUUUUAAUUUUAAGUUAAAAUGCUUAAAUAUUAGUAAAAGACGAGAAGACCCCGUAGAGUUUUAUAAUUUAUUUAUUUAUAGUUUUAGUAUUUAGGUUUAUAUAUAAUUAUAAUUAUUUUAUUGGGGUGAUUGAAAAAUUUAAAUAACUUUUUUAAUGAUAAACAUAAAUUUAUGGGAAAUUGAUCUUAUUUAUAGAUUAAAAGAUUAAAUUACCUUGGGGAUAACAGCGUAAUUUUAUUUUACAGUUCGAAUUAAAAAUAAAGAUUGCGACCUCGAUGUUGGAUUAAAGUUUAUAUUUGGUGUAGGAGCUAAAUAAUUAAGUCUGUUCGACUUUUGAAAUUUUACAUGAUCUGAGUUUAAACCGGUGUGAGCCAGGUUGGUUUCUAUCUUUAAUAAGUGAAAUAGUUUAGUACGAAAGGACCAAUUAUUUAAUUAAGUAAUUUAUUUUUUGAGUAAUAUU